CCUACGGGAGGCUGCAGUGAGGAAUAUUGGUCAAUGGCCGGAAGGCUGACCCAGCCAAGCCGCGUGAAGGACGAAGGUGCCAAGCAUUUUAAACUUCUUUUGUCAAGGGACAAAAUCAGGCUCGAGAGCCUGACCGACGGUACUUGAAGAAAAAGCAUCGGCUAACUCCGUGCCAGCAGCGCGGGUAAUACUGAGGAUGCGAGCGUUAUCCGGAUGUGUUGGGUUUAAGGGGUGUGUAGGCGGGCUGUUAAGUCAGCGGUAAAAGCCCGGGGCUAAACCCCGGCGAGCCGUUGAAACUGGCUGUCUUGAGAUGUAGAGAGGUAUGCGGAAUGCGCAGUGUAGCGGUGAAAUGCUUAGAUAUUGCGCAGAACUCCGAUUGCGAAGGCAGCAUACCGGCGGCGAUCUGACGCUGAGGCACGAAAGCGUGGGUAUCGAACAGGAUUAGAUACCCCAGUAGUC
rnacentral:rRNA from 1 species